UACAGAGGUCCCAAGCGUUUGUUCGGAUUCAUUGGGCGUAAAGGGUGCGUAGGUGGCGCUGUAAGUCGGGUGUGAAAUUUCGGAGCUUAACUCCGAAACUGCAUUCGAUACUGCGGUGCUCGAGGACUGGAGAGGAGACUGGAAUUCAUGGUGUAGCAGUGAAAUGCGUAGAGAUCAUGAGGAAGACCAGUGGCGAAGGCGGGUCUCUGGACAGUUCCUGACACUGAGGCACGAAGGCCAGGGGAGCAAACGGG
rnacentral:rRNA from 1 species